rnacentral:rRNA from 1 species
AAAAGUAAGUAAGGGCACAUGGCGGAUGCCUUGGCUCUCGGAGGCGAUGAAGGACGUGAUAAGCUGCGAUAAGCUGCGGGUAGGUGCAAAUGACCUUUGAUCCGCGGAUUUCCGAAUGGGACAACCCGGUACUUUGAAGAAGUAUCAUCCUGCAUUGCAGGAGGCUAACGCAGGGAACUGAAACAUCUUAGUACCUGCAGGAAAAGAAAAUAAACAAUGAUUCCCCCAGUAGUGGCGAGCGAACGGGGAACAGCCCAAACCAUCCAUGUUACGGCAUGGGUGGGGUUGUAGGACCACGCCGUGGCAAGAAAGUUGGUGAGCAGAAUGUUCUGGAAAGUACAGCCAUAGAGCAUGACAGCUGCGUAUGCGAAGCCAAGCGAAGCCUAGUGGUAUCCUGAGUAGCGCGGAGCACGAGGAAUUCUGCGUGAAUCUGCCGGGACCAUCCGGUAAGGCUAAAUACUCCCGAGAGACCGAUAGUGAACCAGUACUGUGAAGGAAAGGUGAAAAGCACUUCGAACAGAAGAGUGAAAUAGUUCCUGAAACCAUGUGCCUACAAGCGGUCGGAGCACCUUCUGGUGUGACGGCGUGCCUUUUGCAUAAUGAACCUACGAGUUACUUUUUCCGGCGAGGUUAAGGAUUUCAGAUCUGCAGCCGAAGCGAAAGCGAGUCUGAACAGGGCGUAUAGUCGGAAGGAGUAGACGCGAAACCAAGUGAUCUACCCUUGGGCAGGUUGAAGGAUGGGUAACACCAUCUGGAGGACCGAACCAAUAAGCGUUGAAAAGCUUCUGGAUGACCUGAGGGUGGGGGUGAAAGGCUAAUCAAACUUGGAGAUAGCUCGUACUCCCCGAAAUGCAUUUAGGUGCAGCCUUGACUUAUACUGGCAUGAGGUAGAGCGACUGAUAAGAUGCGAGGGCUUCACCGCCUAUCAAGUCUUGACAAACUCCGAAUGCGUGUCAGUUCUAUGUCAGGAGUGAGGGCAUGGGUGCUAAGGUCCAUGUCCUAAAGGAGAACAAUCCGGACCAACAGCUAAGGUCCCGAAAUGAAUACUAAGUUGAACUAACGAAGUCAGAUUGCUAAGACAGCUAGGAUGUUGGCUUGGAAGCAGCCAUUCAUUUAAAGAGUGCGUAACAGCUCACUAGUCGAGGAGUUUGGCGUGGAUAAUAAUCGGGCAUAAGUAUUCUACCGAAGCUUUGGGAUGAGAAAUCAUCGGUAGGGGAGCAUUCCACUCGGCGUCGAAGGUGAAGCGCGAGCUUUGCUGGAGCGUGUGGAAAAGCAAAUGUAGGUAUAAGUAACGAUAAAGGGGGUGGGAAACCCCCUCGCCGAAAGACUAAGGUUUCCUGAUCAACGCUAAUCGGAUCAGGGUAAGUCGGGUCCUAAGGCUCAGCCGAACGGCGAGGCCGAUGGCAGAACCGGUUAAUAUUCCGGUACUACCUGUGGGAGUGACGUGGAGACGGAGUCGUGACAGCGCCGCGGACUGACGGAAUAGUCCGUUGAAGGGUGUAGAUGCUGAUUGUUCCAGGCAAAUCCGGAGCAAGAGUCGAACCUGACAGUAUGGAGCGUUCUUAGAACAAUCCAAUAGUGCGUGUAAUCAUACUUCCAAGAAAAUCCGCUAAACUUAAUCCUGCAGGUACCCGUACCGCAAACGGACACACGUAGUCGGGUUGAAUAUACUAAGGCGCUUGAGUGAUUCACGGUUAAGGAACUAGGCAAACUGACCCUGUAACUUCGGGAUAAAGGGUCCUCGCUUUACGGCGAGGCGCAGAGAAUAGGUCCAGGCAACUGUUUAACAAAAACACAGGGCUGUGCAAAAUUGAAAGAUGAAGUAUACAGCCUGACACCUGCCCGGUGCUGGAAGGUUAAGAGGAGAUGUCAUCGCAAGAGAAGCAUUGAAUUGAAGCCCCAGUAAACGGCGGCCGUAACUAUAACGGUCCUAAGGUAGCGAAAUUCCUUGUCGGGUAAGUUCCGACCUGCACGAAUGGUGUAAUGAUCUGGACGCUGUCUCAACCGUGAGC